UUUUGGGCAAUGGGGGCAACCCUGAUCCAACCAUGCCGCGCGAGUGAAGAAGGCCUUCGGGUUGUAAAGCUCUUUCGGACGGAACGAAAUGGGCGGGAUUAAUAAUCCUGUAAGAUGACGGUACCGUAAGAAGAAGCACCGGCUAACUACGUGCCAGCAGCCGCGGUAAUACGUAGGGUGCGAGCGUUAUUCGGAAUUACUGGGCGUAAAGAGUUCGCAGGCGGUUUGGUAAGUUGGAGGUGAAAUCCCCGGGCUUAACCUGGGAAUGGCCUUCAGGACUGGGAGGCUAGAGUGCGGCAGAGGGAGGUGGAAUUCCACGUGUAGCAGUGAAAUGCGUAGAGAUCGGGAGGAAUACCAGUGGCGAAGGCGGCCUUCUGGACCGAAACUGACACUGAGAUGCGAAA
rnacentral:rRNA from 1 species